GCAACCGGAAUGGCUCAUAUAACAGCUAUAAUUUACUUGAUCUUGACACAAUCCUACUUGGAUAACUGUGGUAAUUCUAGAGCUAAUACAUGCAUUAAAGCUCUGACCUCACGGGAAGAGUGCAUUUAUUAGAACAAAACCAAGCGGCUUCGGCUGUUUCUGGUUGACUCAUAGUAACUGAGCUGAUCGCAUGGUCUUGCACCGGCGACGUGUCUUUCAAGUAUCUGCCGUAUCAACUUUCGAUGGUAGUGUAUCUGACUACCAUGGUGAUCACGCGUAACGGAGAAUAAGGGUUCGGCUCCGGAGAGUUCGCCUGAGAAAUCGCGAACACAUCUAAGGAAGGCAGCAGGCGCGAAAAUUACCCACUCUCAGCACGAGGAGGUAGUGACGAAAAAUAACGAGACCGUUCUCUUAUGAGGCCGGUCAUCGGAAUGGGUACAAUUUAAACCCUUUAACGAGUAUCUAUGAGAGGGCAAGUCUGGUGCCAGCAGCCGCGGUAAUUCCAGCUCUCAAAGUGCAUAGAAUUAUUGCUG
rnacentral:rRNA from 1 species